AGUAACUUUAAUGCUUUUCCAGAAACUCAGGGAUGUCAAAACAUUUUCUGCUAAGUUUAAACUCCAAUGAUGCCAAAAGACAACUGAAACUAUCAUUUGUCAGUAUAAAAGAUGAGGAGCUAUUGCUAUUUGUACAAUCGAUUUUUCUCCAUAGAGCUUAACACCUAUGGUACAGUAGUAUAAUACAGUCAUCACAGAAAAGCCUACUAAUUUCUACGACACCAAAAGCUUAGCGGGCGUUUCCAUGCUGUCCCACUCUCUCUACAGGAAUCACAAAGCUCAAAGACUGAAAAUCCAAUGGCUACUGCACUUAUACACCUUCAGUUUUCGAUCCAUGUUAAGGUUGCCACAAUUAAGUUUUUG
rnacentral:misc_RNA from 1 species